AUGUACGAGACGUUCAAAGAGGGUGUCGAGAAGGUGAUGAACGACGCAGCUCUUUCUCAGAGUUGGACAAAAGCAGAUCACGAUGCUCACGUCGAGCAAGACAGCAGCAACAGCAACUCCGGCGAUGGCGAGGAGGAUGAGGACGCCAUGCCCUUGCUGGUCUACGUGUCUCGCGAGAAGCGGAGGUCGUCGGCUCACCACUUCAAAGCCGGCGCACUCAACGUCCUUCUCCGGGUGUCGAGCCUGAUGAGCAACUCGCCGUACGUGAUGGUGCUGGACUGCGACAUGUACUGCAACAGCUGGAGCUCCGUCCUGGAGGCCAUGUGCUUCCACCUCGACGGCCGCCGCCGCGCCGACCUCGCCUUCGUGCAGUUCCCUCAGAUGUUCCACAACCUCAGCAGCAGCGACAUCUACGCCAACGAGCUCAGGUCCAUCUUCUGGACGCGGUGGAAAGGCGUGGACGGCCUCCGGGGCCGAUCCUCUCCGGCACCGGCUUCUGCGUCAGGAGAGAUGCCGUCUACGGCGCCGGGCCGGGCAGCUCACAAGAUCAUCAGUCCUCCGGUGUGGAGGUCGGCGAGCUGA
rnacentral:rRNA from 1 species